rnacentral:rRNA from 1 species
AUUGAACGCUGGCGGCAGGCCUAACACAUGCAAGUCGAGCGGAUGAGGGAAGCUUGCUUCCCGAUUUAGCGGCGGACGGGUGAGUAAUGCCUAGGAAUCUGCCUAUUAGUGGGGGAUAACGUUCCGAAAGGAACGCUAAUACCGCAUACGUCCUACGGGAGAAAGUGGGGGAUCUUCGGACCUCACGCUAAUAGAUGAGCCUAGGUCGGAUUAGCUAGUUGGUGGGGUAACGGCUCACCAAGGCGACGAUCCGUAGCUGGUCUGAGAGGAUGAUCAGCCACACUGGAACUGAGACACGGUCCAGACUCCUACGGGAGGCGGCAGUGGGGAAUAUUGGACAAUGGGCGAAAGCCUGAUCCAGCCAUGCCGCGUGUGUGAAGAAGGUCUUCGGAUUGUAAAGCACUUUAAGUUGGGAGGAAGGGUUGUAAGCUAAUAUCUUGCAGCUUUGACGUUACCAACAGAAUAAGCACCGGCUAACUCUGUGCCAGCCGCCGCCGUAAUAC